rnacentral:rRNA from 1 species
AAGGAUCAUUAUCGUACAAA